rnacentral:rRNA from 1 species
GCAUAUCAAUAAGCGGAGGAAAAGAAAAUAACAAUGAUUUCCCUAGUAACGGCGAGUGAAGAGGAAAGAGCUCAAAGUUGGAACCUGUUUGGCCUAGCUAAACCGGAUUGUAGACUGUAGAAGUGUUUUCCAGGCAAGCCGAGUAAAUAAGUCCUUUGGAACAGGGCAUCAUAGAGGGUGAGAAUCCCGUCUUUGGCUUGAGCAUUUGCCUUUUGUGAUACGCUUUCAAAGAGUCAGGUUGUUUGGGAAUGCAGCCUAAAUUGGGUGGUAAAUCUCACCUAAAGCUAAAUAUUGGCGAGAAACCGAUAGCGAACAAGUACCGUGAGGGAAAGAUGAAAAGAACUUUGAAAAGAGAGUUAAACAGUAUGUGAAAUUGUUAAAAGGGAACCGUUUGGAGCCAGACUGGCUUGUCUGUAAUCAAUCUAGGCUUCGGCCUGGAUGCACUUGCAGGCUAUGCCUGCCAACGACAAUUUGACUUGAGGGAAAAAACUAGGGGAAAUGUGGCCCACUUGUGGGUGUUAUAGUCCCUUAGAAAAUACCUUGGGUUGGAUUGAGGAACGCAGCGAAUGCUUAUUGGCGAGUUUUCCAGGAAGGUUUUCUGAGGUACUACGGUAUCAAGGUUGAUCUUUUUGGUUAUACUUCUAUUCGCUUAGGUUGUUGGCUUAAUGACUCUAAAUGACCCGUCUUGAAACACGGACCAAGGAGUCCACCAUUAGUGCGAGUAUUUGGGUGCCAAACCCAUAUGCGUAAGGAAACUGAUUGAUACGAAUCCAUUAAGGAGGCAGUAUCGUCCGGCGCUGACGUUUUAUACUGAAUUGACCGAGACAAAGCACUAAUGAUGGGACCCGAAAGAUGGUGAACUAUGCCUGAAUAGGGUGAAGCCAGAGGAAACUCUGGUGGAGGCUCGUAGCGAUUCUGACGUGCAAAUCGAUCGUCAAAUUUGGGUAUAGGGGCGAAAGACRAAUCGAACCAUCUAGUAGCUGGUCCUG